GAGGAGAUGACCUCAAGACAAGCAGCUUCCAUGCAAUACUGCAGCAAGGGCUUACUUUCCUGAGCAUUUCCCACGCUCCAAUCACUGCUCUAAUUCCUUUAGAUGUGUUAACUCACUUCCUGCUCACAAUACUUCUAUGAGGCACUCAGCAGCUGUUUCCUGAGCUGAUGUACAUCUCAUUAGUCUAUCAAGCUCCAACAGCCAAGGCCAAGGCCCCCAGAAUGAAAAACUGACGCAGCCACCCCUUCCUGUGCCAGAGACAGGAGAAGGGAGGGAGACUGACGGCCUUUGUUCUCUGAGCAAGACCGUAAAGCACUUCGCCUACAGGCCACAAGAGGGCGAUGGUGGUCCACACAUAAGAUCUUCCCAAAGAGCCAGCCAAAAACGCCUGCCUGGAGAAUCUGGAGGUUGUGAAAGGUGACUUUGUUAAGGAAGGGCG
ensembl:lncRNA novel transcript